UCAGGACGAACGCUGGCGGCGUGCCUAAUACAUGCAAGUCGAACGGCUUUUCUAUGGAAGCUUGCUUCCACUGAGAAGAUAGUGGCGAACGGGUGAGUAACACGUGGGUAACCUGCCCAUAAGAGGGGGAUAACAUCCGGAAACGGGUGCUAAUACCGCAUAGUUUUCUUGAUCGCAUGAUCGGGAAAGGAAAGACGGCCUUUGUGCUGUCGCUUAUGGAUGGACCCGCGGCGUAUUAGUUAGUUGGUGAGGUAACGGCUCACCAAGACGAUGAUACGUAGCCGACCUGAGAGGGUGAUCGGCCACAUUGGGACUGAGACACGGCCCAAACUCCUACGGGAGGCAGCAGUAGGGAAUCUUCCGCAAUGGACGAAAGUCUGACGGAGCAACGCCGCGUGAGUGAAAGAAGGUUUUCGGAUCGUAAAACUCUGUUGUCAGAGAAGAACAAGUUGGAGAGUAACUGCUCCAGCCUUGACGGUAUCUGACCAGAAAGCCACGGCUAACUACGUGCCAGCCGCCGC
rnacentral:rRNA from 1 species